UUGUAAGUGUUUAAGGGCGCAUGGUGGAUGCCUUGGCACUGGGAGCCGAUGAAGGACGUUGGAGGCUGCGAUAUGCCUCGGGGAGCUGCCAACCGAGCGUUGAUCCGAGGAUGUCCGAAUGGGGAAACCCAGCACGAGUGAUGUCGUGUUACCCACUACUGAAUACAUAGGUAGUGGGAGGGAACGCGGGGAAGUGAAACAUCUCAGUACCCGUAGGAAGAGAAAACAAAAGUGAUUCCGUGAGUAGUGGCGAGCGAAAGCGGAAGAUGGCUAAACCGUAUGCAUGUGAUACCGGGUAGGGGUUGUGUGUGCGGGGUUGUGGGACCUGUUUUUCCAGUUCUACCUGACUGGAGGGUAGUAAGAAAAUGUCGUGGUUAACGGAAGUGGUUUGGGAUGACCUGCCGUAGACGGUGAGAGCCCGGUACGUGAAAACCUGACAUCUGCCUUGAACAGUGUUCCCGAGUAGCAGCGGGCCCGUGAAAUCUGCUGUGAAUCUGCCGGGACCACCCGGUAAGCCUGAAUACUUCCCAGUGACCGAUAGCGGAUUAGUACCGUGAGGGAAUGGUGAAAAGUACCCCGGGAGGGGAGUGAAAUAGUACCUGAAACCGUGCGCUUACAAUCCGUCAGAGCCCUCCUUCGUGGUGGGGUGAUGGCGUGCCUUUUGAAGAAUGAGCCUGCGAGUCAGGGACAUGUCGCGAGGUUAACCCGUGUGGGGUAGCCGCAGCGAAAGCGAGUCUGAAUAGGGCGUAUCCAAUCCAGAGGGGUUGGUGUAGUGGUGUGUUCUGGACCCGAAGCGGAGUGAUCUACCCAUGGCCAGGGUGAAGCGCGGGUAAGACCGCGUGGAGGCCCGAACCCACUUAGGUUGAAGACUGAGGGGAUGAGCUGUGGGUAGGGGUGAAAGGCCAAUCAAACUCCGUGAUAGCUGGUUCUCCCCGAAAUGCAUUUAGGUGCAGCGUCACAUGUUUCUUGUUGGAGGUAGAGCUACUGGAUGGCCGAUGGGCCCCACAGGGUUACUGACGUCAGCCAAACUCCGAAUGCCGACAAGUCUAAGAGUGUGGCAGUGAGACGGCGGGGGAUAAGCUCCGUGCGUCGAGAGGGAAACAGCCCAGAUCGCCGGCUAAGGCCCCUAAGCGUGUACUAAGUGGAAAAGGAUGUGCAGUCGCGAAGACAACCAGGAGGUUGGCUUAGAAGCAGCCACCCUUGAAAGAGUGCGUAAUAGCUCACUGGUCAAGUGAUUGUGCGCCGAUAAUGUAGCGGGGCUCAAGUACACCGCCGAAGCCGCGGCAACGAACUAGUUUCGUUGGGUAGGGGAGCGUCCUGCAUCCGGUGAAGCAGCAGAGUGAUCUAGCUGUGGAGGGUGUGGGAGUGAGAAUGCAGGCAUGAGUAGCGAAUAGGCAAGUGAGAACCUUGCCCGCCGAAAGACCAAGGGUUCCUGGGCCAGGCCAGUCCUCCCAGGGUGAGUCGGGACCUAAGGCGAGGCCGACAGGCGUAGUCGAUGGACAACGGGUUGAUAUUCCCGUACCCGUGUAUGUGCGUCCAUGAUGAAUCCAUUGUGCUAACCAUCCAAAACCGUCGUGACCGAUCCCUUCGGGGUGAGGCGUUGACGGGGCUGCGUGGGACCCCGGUGGGUAGUAGUCAAGCGAUGGGGUGACGCAGGAAGGUAGCCGUACCAGUCAGUGGUUGUACUGGGGUAAGCCGGUAGGGAGUCAGAUAGGCAAAUCCGUCUGGCAUUAAUCCUGAGAGGUGAUGCAUAGCCGUUUGAGGCGAAUUCGGUGAUCCUAUGCUGCCAAGAAAAGCCUCUAGCGAGGACAUACACGGCCCGUACCCCAAACCAACACAGGUGGUCAGGUAGAGAAUACUAAGGCGUACGAGUGAACUAUGGUUAAGGAACUCGGCAAAAUGCCCCCGUAACUUCGGGAGAAGGGGGACCCCCAUAUCGUCAAGGCUUUUGCGGCCGGCAGCGGGAGGGGGUGGCACAAACCAGUGAGAAGCGACUGUUUACUAAAAACACAGGUCCGUGCGAAGUCGCAAGACGAUGUAUACGGACUGACGCCUGCCCGGUGCUGGAAGGUUAAGAGGACCCGUUAACCCUUCGGGGUGAAGCGGAGAAUUUAAGCCCCAGUAAACGGCGGUGGUAACUAUAACCAUCCUAAGGUAGCGAAAUUCCUUGUCGGGUAAGUUCCGACCUGCACGAAUGGCGUAACGACUUCUCAACUGUCUCAACCAUAGACUCGGCGAAAUUGCACUACGAGUAAAGAUGCUCGUUACGCGCGGCAGGACGAAAAGACCCCGGGACCUUCACUACAACUUGGUAUUGGUGCUCGAUACGGUUGAGCAAUGAUCAGAACCUGUGGAUGAGCCUCGGCGAGGCGGCGUAGGAAAGGGCGCACCUUCCCGAGGAUGAUCUGAAUGUCGAAGGUCUGAUCAAGAGCCGGCGUUGGCGCGCUGGUUCGGGAAGGUACGCCCAUGCUCACGGUAGUUCACGAUGCGGAUUCAUCCAACGAGGAUGCUGGCUCGUCGCGGUCGUUGCUCGAUGAGAUUGUCCGCGACGGUGCCCGCCAGAUGCUGGCCGCAGCGUUGCGGGCUGAGGUCGCCGCCUACAUCGAGGCUCAUGCCGGUGAGCUUGAUGAGAACGGGCACCGGCUGGUGGUGCGCAAUGGCUAUCACCGCGAGCGCGAGGUGCUCACCGCGGCGGGCGCGGUGAGUGUGACCGCGCCGCGGGUCAAUGACAAACGUGUUGACCCGGACACUGGUGAGCGGCAACGGUUUUCCUCGGCGAUCCUGCCGGCGUGGGUGCGCAAGUCGCCGCAGAUGACCGAGGUGUUGCCGUUGCUGUAUCUGCAUGGCUUGUCGACCAGUGAUUUCGGUCCGGCGUUGGAGCAGUUCCUGGGCUCGGGUGCCGGCUUGUCGGCCACGACGAUCACCCGACUCACCACGCAGUGGCAGGACGAGGCCAAGGCCUUCGAGGCCCGUGAUCUGUCGGGCACCGACUACGUCUACCUGUGGGUCGACGGCAUCCAUCUCAAGGUGCGCCUGGAGCAGGAGAAGCUCUGUUUGCUGGUGAUGAUCGGUGUGCGCGCUGACGGCCGCAAGGAGCUGGUCGCGCUCACCGACGGGUACCGGGAGUCGGCCGAGUCGUGGGCUGAUCUGUUGCGGUCGUGCCGACGUCGCGGGAUGACCGCACCGGUGCUGGCCGUCGGCGAUGGGGCCCUGGGGUUCUGGAAGGCCGUGCGUGAGGUGUUCCCGGCCACCGGCGAGCAGCGGUGCUGGUUUCACAAGCAGGCCAAUGUUCUUGCCUGCCUGCCAAAGUCGGCUCAUCCGGGGGCGAUCGCGGCGAUGCGGGAGAUCUACAACGCCGAGGAUAUCGACCACGCGCAGGUGGCGAUCAAGGCGUUCGAGGUGGACUACGGCGCCAAGUACCCCAAGGCGGUCGCCAAGAUCGUCGAUGACGCCGAUGUGCUGCUGGAGUUCUAUAAGUACCCGGCCGAGCACUGGGUCCAUCUGCGCACUACCAACCCGAUCGAAUCAACGUUUGCCACGGUACGUUUGAGGACCAAGGUGACCAAGGGGCCGGGUUCACGCGUCGCCGGAAUGGCCAUGGCUUACAAGCUGAUCGACGCCGCGCAAGCCCGCUGGCGAGCCGUCAACGCACCGCACCUGGUCGCUCUGGUCCGGGCCGGCGCGAUCUUCCACAAAGGCAAACUGCUCGAGCGACCCACCGACAUCACCCCGUCGGCGGACUCGGCACCGACCGAAUCAACUGGAACGGAGGUCGCCUGAAACAAGCCGAUCCACAGGUAUUGACAAUUCCUCCGAUACGGUUUGUGUAGGAUAGGUGGGAGACUGUGAAAUUCACACGCCAGUGUGGGUGGAGUCAUUGUUGAAAUACCACUCUGAUCGUAUUGGGCCUCUAACCUCGGACCGUAUAUCCGGUUCAGGGACAGUGCCUGGUGGGUAGUUUAACUGGGGCGGUUGCCUCCUAAAAUGUAACGGAGGCGCCCAAAGGUUCCCUCAACCUGGACGGCAAUCAGGUGUUGAGUGUAAGUGCACAAGGGAGCUUGACUGCGAGACAUACAUGUCGAGCAGGGACGAAAGUCGGGACUAGUGAUCCGGCACCUCUGAGUGGAAGGGGUGUCGCUCAACGGAUAAAAGGUACCCCGGGGAUAACAGGCUGAUCUUCCCCAAGAGUCCAUAUCGACGGGAUGGUUUGGCACCUCGAUGUCGGCUCGUCGCAUCCUGGGGCUGGAGCAGGUCCCAAGGGUUGGGCUGUUCGCCCAUUAAAGCGGCACGCGAGCUGGGUUUAGAACGUCGUGAGACAGUUCGGUCUCUAUCCGCCGCGCGCGUCAGAAGCUUGAGGAAAUCUGUCCCUAGUACGAGAGGACCGGGACGGACGAACCUCUGGUGUACCAGUUGUUCCACCAGGAGCACGGCUGGAUAGCCACGUUCGGACAGGAUAACCGCUGAAAGCAUCUAAGCGGGAAACCCCCUCCAAGACCAGGCUUCUCACCCUUUUAGAGGGAUAAGGCCCCCCGCAGACCACGGGAUUGAUAGGUCAGACCUGGAAGCCCAGUAAUGGGUGAAGGGAACUGGCACUAACCGGCCGAAAACUUACAACA
rnacentral:rRNA from 1 species